AGUGAACGCUGGCGGCAGGCCUAACACAUGCAAGUCGAGCGGCAGCGCGUCCGACCACCCUCGGGUGGUCGGAUGGCGGCGAGCGGCGGACGGGUGAGGAAUGCAUCGGAAUCUGCCUCGUUGUGGGGGAUAACGUAGGGAAACUUACGCUAAUACCGCAUACGACCUACGGGUGAAAGUGGGGGACCUUCGGGCCUCACGCGAUGAGAUGAGCCGAUGCCGGAUUAGCUAGUUGGCGGGGUAAAGGCCCACCAAGGCGACGAUCCGUAGCUGGUCUGAGAGGAUGAUCAGCCACACUGGAACUGAGACACGGUCCAGACUCCUACGGGAGGCAGCAGUGGGGAAUAUUGGACAAUGGGGGCAACCCUGAUCCAGCCAUGCCGCGUGUGUGAAGAAGGCCUCGGGUUGUAAGUACUUUGUUGGGU
rnacentral:rRNA from 1 species